rnacentral:rRNA from 1 species
AUGUGGGGGCUGUCGGCGGGGACGCUGCUGAAGCCGGUGUGCAGGUGGCUGCUGAAGCGGCUCGGGGACCUCACCCUGGGCGACCUCGACCUCGACCAGUUGGACCUCCAGCUCACCCGCGGCACGCUCCAACUCUCCGACCUCGCGCUCAACGCCGACUUCAUCAACGCCAAGCUAUCAGGAUCUCCUAUCACAGUUAAAGAAGGAUCUAUAAAAUCCCUGCUAGUUAAAUUACCUUUACAGUUAAGGAGUUGGAAGAUUGAGAUCGUAGUGGAAGGGUUGGAGUUUGUACUUGCACCAUCUGUUGCUAUUGAAGCCUCACCUGUAGAUACCGAGUGCUCUGUUUCUGCUGGUAAUAGUGAUACAGAGGCGAGAUUGGCUGAGACCAAGAGGAAUGAACCUGAUAGUAAUCCCUGCUCUACUUCUGCAUCUCGAGAUGUGGAUGAUGGUGUGAAGAGAAUAGCCAACGCCAUCAAGCACUUUCUUACAAGAUUUAAUAUCAAGUUGAAAAAUACGUAUGUAGUAUUUGAUCCUCAAAGCAUUUUGGAUAAAAAGGCCUUGGAAUUUAAUUGGUCGCUAGUUUUCCGAACUAAAGAGAUACAGUGUGGAACUAAUCUUUCAACAGACGGUCCGGUCAAAUUGAAUAACUUGGUAACAUUCCAAGAGGCGGUCAUUGAGUUUUUGAAGAUGGAUGAUGUUGAUGCAAAUCUUCAGAACGAUCUGGAUAGAGGAACAGCUGACAUUUCAUCAUAUCAUAGUACUACUGCGGUCUUGACAGGUCCCAUUGGUGGAUUCUCAGGAACAUUGAACCUAAGCAUCCCAUGGAAUAGUGGAUGCUUAAACUUUCAAAAAGUUGAUGCAGACAUAUCUGUUGAUUCAUUAGAAUUGCAGUUACAGAUGAGCAGUAUCCAAUGGUUCAUGAAUGUAUAUGAUUCUCUUUGUAGGAACUCGGCAGAUGAACAUAAUUGUGUACAUAGUACUGCAGAUAUGUCUAUGAACGCCUCCAGAUCUUCCUUAUGUGCAUCCACAUCAAGCUCUUCGAAAUCAGGUUCAGCCUCUGUGAUAGCUAGCGGGGAAGGUUUGUCACAGAGAGCAUUUUCUCGAAGCAGGCAGGACAAUUUUCAGGAUGAUUUCCUCAACAAGGCACAUGUGAUUCAAGACUGGAUUCCGGAUCUUGUUGUCCACAGUGACCAAGGUGAAUUUGAUUCAGAUUGUGACGAAAGCAUCAGUCAGUUCUUUGAAUGCUUUGAGGAAUUGAGGAGCUCUCAUACCAAUUUAGGAAAUAGUGGCAUAUGGGACUGGACGUGUUCGGUAUUCAACGCAAUUACUUUUGCAUCCGCAUUAGCUUCUGGAUCCGAUCAAGUCCCUAAAGAAACACUGAUUGAGAAAACCUUACGGGCUUCCAUUGCUCAGAUAGGCAUUAUUCUUUUGUUCAGUGAUGAAAUGGAUACUGGCAGUUCCAGUAUUCCUCCGAGUCUCGUCAAAGAUAUGAGAAGUUCGGAAAUGUUUUCAAGCUGCCUUUCUCCUGCUCAUUUUGAGCGAUUGAUGAUUUCUCCUGCUACUGCUUCCAGUUUAAGUAUGCAUCAUCUUGAAUACAAGUGUCAUAACAUCCAUCUUGACCUUGAGACAUAUCCGAAAAACUUGAGGUUGAAAGCAUCGAUUGGCCACAUGAGGGUCGAUGAAUACUACAGCACUGAAAAACAUGAUUCAGAUCACACACCCGUUAGUGCUCCUUUCUUAAAUAGUGAUUAUUGCCAUGAAGUUCAAGCUGCUCUCCCUUCAUUCCCGUUUGCUGCUCAAGAUUACUGGGUGGAGUCAUCUGGAUACUGUUCGAACAAUUCAAGUGAACUAGCUAAGGUUGAAUUGCUUAAAACAUUUGGUGAUUCCACAUUCCAUUAUGAUGUUAGUAGCACAGAUCGAGGUGGCAACUCAGUAAGUUCAACUUCACUGUCAAUCUGUUUGGCUCCAUUAGUUUGGUGGGUGCAUUUCCAUACAGUACAGAUGCUACUGAAUUUUAUCAGUAAAAUUGAGUCUGAUGUGGUGCGCGGACAGCAUAAACUCCAUAUGCGAGGUGAUACAGAAAACAGUAAGUUGACUACCAAAACUAAUAUUUCACCAAGUGGGAGUCUAAAGGUUCAGAUGGCUCUCUCACCUUCAAGAAUCAUCAUUUGCUUUCCUACUGAGUCCCCAUGGGAUUUAAGCCGCCCAUCCAUCCUGGAUACAUUCCUUGUCAUUGACCGCACAUCAUCUCUGGACUCAGGGGAAGCUUCGUCUCCAUUCGGAAAGGAAAGGCCUAAUGAUGCUCAUUCCGGCAUACCAUCUACCUCACUCCAUUUGGCUGCUGGGAACUUCGACAUGUAUUUGCUUAGACCGAUGAGCUAUGAAUUGGAUGACAGAAGCCAUUCUUUGAGUAGGCAAACUUCUUUUGCUCUGAAGAUUAUCUCAGUCACUAGUUACAACUGUGGCGACUCUAGCAUUACAAUGAUCUGGAGAAAAUACCCUGUAACUGGCCCUGAGAUGGUUAGUAAAGCUUGGAGUUUGCCAAACCUUCAUGACCAAAAAAUUACUCAGAGAGAAAGGGGCAAUUUUGUUGGUGCCUCUUAUACAACCUCACAGGAUCUCGAGAAGUCGAGUUAUAGUAUAUGCCAGGAGCUCCUUCAGAGCACCCAGUGCUUUCUGCAUAUUAAACUUUCUUCAGUUUCAGUUCAUCUCAAUAAGAAGGAUUGUGGAUUACUGAAUCAGCUAUUAGAUUGCAUUCUCAGCGGGCUGUCUGAUGGUGCAACGAGCAGCUCUGAAAGUGGAAGGGACAAAUCUAUGCCUAUCAAUGAUGUUGCCAUCCAAUCAGCUAUCACUUUUGAAUGCAGCUUUUUGGAUAUUUGUACUGAAUUAAAUGAAACUGUGGUAGUUGGUCCUUUGCUGCAGACAGAACUAGAAGGUUCCUGGAAUUGUUUUAAGCUGUCCAUUUCAAAAAUUUCCCUGUGCUCUUUUUCUAAUGUAGGCGGAAUCAAUAAUGCCAGUUUUCUUUGGGUGAAUCAUGGUGAAGGUGAGCUUUGGGGUUCUAUUACUGGUACAAAUGAUAAAGCCUAUGCCGAAAGCAAAGUUUUUCUCCUAGUUGUCUGUAAGGACUCUGCUAACAUGCGAGGUGAUGGCGAAGGAAACAAUGCACUAUAUUUUGGAACUUCUGGCUGUUCUGUGACCCACAUCAGGAACCCAAAUCUACAAGAGAACUAUACUUCUGUCAAUUUUCGUUCUGGGACAAUUGUGGCACCUGGUGGACGCAUGGAUUGGAUCAGUGCAAUGUGCCUGCUGUUUAAUGCAGGUUCACACGGAACUGAACAGUCCAAUAACAGCAGAACAGAGGAUAAUUCAUGUCCUGGUGACCGGUCAUCUUUUUUUCUUGAGUUGGUUGAUGUUGCUGUGAGCUAUGAAUCUCAUGUAAAAAAUUCCACCUUCAGCGCUGAAGCUACUGAUUGCAAGUCUUUCUCAUGCAUUUUAGCCGCAUCAUUAUUUAAACUCCACAGUAUAUCUGCACCAGACUCUGCAGCUACAGAUUUUGAUAUCCAGCUGCGAGAUCUCGGGCUUUUCAUCUGUGAAUCAUUUGGUUCCAAAAAUGCCACUUGCGGCUAUGGUGUUGAUUAUCUUCGUAAAAUGGGUUACACUAAGAUUGCCCGUGACACGUUCAUUGAAGCUGCUCUAAGAAUUGACACUUCCUUUUGGAAGCUUGAAAUAUCAGAUUCACAAUUUGAUAUUGGUACAUGUCGUGAUACAACACAUGGUCUUAUUUGCUUGUGUUCCCAACUCCAGAAGCUAUAUGCUCCAGACAUGCAUGAUGCUUUAGUUCAUCUAUACAAUCUAGGUGGAAUAGUUGACGCAUCAGACAAGUCAGAGAGCAGCAUUGACAACUUGGCAUAUUCUGGAGAGUGCUUGUCAGAUGGACUACUUAAUGAUAUAAUUGAGAAUGCUUUUUACACAGACCAGGACUACAAAGCCUACAAUUUUUCUAGCAGAAAUUGUCACAACUCACCAAGUAGCAACGGAAUGGAUGUUGAGUCUGAGUCGCCCACCCCUGGGGCAACUGACGUCAGUGUUCCACACAUUUUGUUUGGAUCAUCAUUAGCUACUCCAAAAAUCAAUACGACUGAAAUACCAUUGAAACAGGACUCCUGUCAUGAACAAAUUAUUGACUCUUAUUAUAUGCCUGACACAUCAUCGUCAACUCUAUGUAAUGUAGGAUAUCAAUGUAUAUCUGGUGAUGAUGCUUACAAAACCAUGGAAUUUGAAGAUGGUGGAUGGUAUAACAGUAUUCCCUUGACAAUAGUUGAGAGUCAUGUUCCGGAAAGGAACAACCCACAAGGAGGGCAUGUGGCCGGCCAAGAAGGGAAGCCUACUGUUUGCAGCUUGAAUUAUGAGGAAUCUUGUUAUUUGAAAGGAAAGGUUAUAAUUCAUGAUGUAAAUGUCAAUUGGCGAAUGUAUGCUGGAGAUGACUGGUCAUUAGCUCAGAAAGAUAAUUUCUUAUCUCGGGGCUUGGUGUACAGUGAUAUGUAUCCAGAUGGGGGUGUUUCUGUUUCUAAGUUAUCUAUAUCUGCACGGGACAUAAAUCUUUGUGAUCAAAGGGUGGAUGCUCCAUGGAAAAUGGUUCUUGGCUGCUACGACUCAGAUUACCCAAGAGAAUCUUGUUCUAGUGCAUUCACGUUAGAACUGGAGUCUGUAAAGCCCGAGCCACAGAGUCCUUUGGAAGAUUACAGAUUGUGCCUUGAGAUUUUGCCUCUUCAAUUGCAUCUUGAUCAAGGGCAGCUUAAGUUCCUCAUGUGUUUCUUUCAGAAUGACUCUUGUGACAACAGCUCUCAUUUGCCUUGCAAAAAUGAUAUUGUUCAUAUAGAGAGCACAACCUAUGGAAGCAAUACAGUUCUGGAUGAGGCAUUACUUCCAUUCUUUCAGAAAUUUGAUGUCAAGCCUAUUGUUCUGCACAUCAACUAUAUCCCUCGUCAGUUUGAUCCUAUUGCACUAGGCAAAGGAAAUUAUGCAGAACUUCUCAACAUCCUUCCGUUGAAGGGAAUCGAUUUGAAGCUUAAACAUGUUUCUGCAAUGGGGGUGUAUGGGUGGAAUAGUAUUUGUGAAACAAUUGGUGCAGAGUGGUUGGAGGACAUAUCUAAAAAUCAGGUCCAUAAAUUGUUAAAAGGGCUUCCCCCUUUAAAAUCAGUCAGUGCCGUUGUUUCAGGCACUAAGAAAUUGAUAUCUUUACCCAUCGAAAGUUACAAGAAAGACCGGAAGUUGGUCAAGGGAAUGCAAAGAGGUGCUGUUGCCUUUAUCAGAAGUGUUUCCAUUGAAGCUGUAGGGCUUGGUGUCCAUUUGGCAGCGGGAGCUCAUGAUAUGCUGCUGAAGGCAGAACAUGCCCUUACAGCUCUUCCACCACCUUUAGCCACGUGUGAAGCUAAAAGAAACAAAGAUAACGUAAGGGCAAACCAACCCGAAAAUGCGACACAAGGAAUAAAGCAGGCUUAUGAAAGCUUUACUGAUGGACUUGGAAGGACUGCCUCUGCUUUGAUUGGGAACCCUAUUAACGCGUAUAAUCGCGGGGCUGGUGCCAGAUCAGCACUGACUACUGCAAUUUGUGGAGCUCCAGCUGCUGUAGUAGCUCCAGUAUCAGCAACUGCCCGUGCUGUACAUUAUGCACUUCUUGGUAUAAGGAACAGCCUUGAUCCUAGACGCAAGAAAGAAUCUAUGUACAAGUACCUGGGGCCUUCUCAACUGUAG